GCCUUCUUAGCUCAAUGGUAGAGUAUUGGUUUUGUAAACCAAACGUUAUCGGUUCAAGUCCGAUAGAAGGCU
rnacentral:tRNA from 1 species